AAGUCCAUCCUCAUCCCUGCCGGGCAGCCCAUAGCCUGCCAGGUCUCACUCGUGGAUCAGAGCUCUCUAGAAGCUUCACCCAGAGGCGUGAGCAAGGCUUCAGUAGGCUUGUGGACGGGAGCUUCUAGACACUC